AACAUGUGCGCGAGCGGCGGGGCAGUACGAAACCCGUAAGGCGAAAUGAAGGUGAACGCCGGCGCGGUCCGGCGGAGGUUGGAUCCCGUCCCGUCGGGGCGGGCGCACUACCGGCCGAUCUUCUCCGCCCUGUCGGCGAGGUCGAGCGAGAGCGUGCAAGUCGGGACCCGAAAGAUGGUGAACUAUGCCUGAGGAGGUUGAAGCCAGAGGAAACUCUGGUGGAGGACCGUAGCGAUUCUGACGUGCAAAUCGAUCGUCAAAUUUGGGUAUAGGGGCGAAAGACUAAUCGAACCGUCUAGUAGCUGGUUCCCUUCGAAGUUUCCCUCAGGAUAGCUGGCGCUCUGUCGCAGUUUUAUCUGGUAAAGCGAAUGAUUAGAGGUCUUGGGGGCGAAACGCCCUCAACCUAUUCUCAAACUUUAAAUUGGUAAGAAGCCCGACUCGCUCGUUUGGAGCCGGGCAUGGAAUGCGAGUGCCAAGUGGGCCACUCUUGGUAAGCAGGACUGGCGAUGCGGGAUGAACCGAACGCCGGGUUAAGGCGCCCGACGCGACGCUCAUCAGAGCCCACAAAAGGUGUUGGUUGAUAUAGACAGCAGGACGGUGGCCAUGGAAGUCGGAAACCGCUAAGGAGUGGGUAACAACUCACCUGCCGAAUCAAUCACCCCUGAAAAUGGAUGGCGCUGGAG
rnacentral:ncRNA from 1 species